rnacentral:rRNA from 1 species
GAUGAACGCUGGCGGCGUGCCUAAUACAUGCAAGUCGAGCGAACAGACGAGGAGCUUGGUCCUCUGACGUUAGCGGCGGACGGGUGAGUAACACGUGGAUAACCUACCUAUAAGACUGGGAUAACUUCGGGAAACCGGAGCUAAUACCGGAUAACAUGUUGAACCGCAUGGUUCAACAGUGAAAGACGGUCUUGCUGUCACUUAUAGAUGGAUCCGCGCCGCAUUAGCUAGUUGGUAAGGUAACGGCUUACCAAGGCAACGAUGCGUAGCCGACCUGAGAGGGUGAUCGGCCACACUGGAACUGAGACACGGUCCAGACUCCUACGGGAGGCAGCAGUAGGGAAUCUUCCGCAAUGGGCGAAAGCCUGACGGAGCAACGCCGCGUGAGUGAAGAAGGUCUUCGGAUCGUAAAACUCUGUUAUUAGGGAAGAACAAAUGUGUAAGUAACUAUGCACGUCUUGACGGUACCUAAUCAGAAAGCCACGGCUAACUACGUG